GACAGAGGGGGCAAGCGUUGCUCGGAAUUACUGGGCGUAAAGGGCGCGUAGGCGGGAUGGCAAGUCGGUUGUGAAAUCCUUCGGCUCAACCGAAGAACGUCGAUCGAUACUGCCAUUCUUGAGGGAUGCAGAGGAGACUGGAAUUCCCGGUGUAGCGGUGAAAUGUGUAGAGAUCGGGAGGAACACCGGUGGCGAAGGCGGGUCUCUGGGCAUCUCCUGACGCUGAGGCGCGAAAGCGUGGGGAGCAAACGGG
rnacentral:rRNA from 1 species